rnacentral:rRNA from 1 species
AUUGAACGCUGGCGGCAUGCCUUACACAUGCAAGUCGAACGGCAGCACGGGUGCUUGCACCUGGUGGCGAGUGGCGAACGGGUGAGUAAUACAUCGGAACAUGUCCUGUAGUGGGGGUUAGCCCGGCGAAAUCCGGAUUAAUACCGCAUACGAUCUACGGAUGAAAGCGGGUGACCUUCGUUUCUCGCGCUAUAGGGUUGGCCGAUGGCUGAUUCGCUAGUUGGUGGGGUAAAGGCCUACCAAGGCGGCGAUCAGUAGCUGAUCUGAGGGGACGACCAGCCACACUGGGAGUGAGACACGGCCCAGACACCUACGGGAGGCAGCAGUGGGGAAGUUUGGAAGAAGGGCGAAAGACUGAUCAAGCAAUGCCGCGUGUGUGAAGAAGGCCUGCGGGGUGUAAAGCAGUUUUGUGCGGAAAGAAAUCCUUGGCCCGAAUACGGGCUGGGGAUGACGGUACCGGAAGAAGAAGCACCGGCUAACUACGUG